UAAGAGGGGGGAUAACAUCCGGAAACGGGUGCUAAUACCGCAUAGUUUUCUUGAUCGCAUGAUCGGGAAAGGAAAGACGGCCUUUGUGCUGUCGCUUAUGGAUGGACCCGCGGCGUAUUAGUUAGUUGGUGAGGUAACGGCUCACCAAGACGAUGAUACGUAGCCGACCUGAGAGGGUGAUCGGCCACAUUGGGACUGAGACACGGCCCAAACUCCUACGGGAGGCAGCAGUAGGGAAUCUUCCGCAAAUGGACGAAAGGUCUGACGGAGCAACGCCGCGUGAGUGAAGAAAAGGUUUUUCGGAUCGUAAAACUCUGUUGUCAGAGAAGAACAAGUUGGAGAGUAACUGCUCCAGCCUUGACGGUAUCUGACCAGAAAGCCACGGCUAACUACGUGCCAGCCGCAGC
rnacentral:rRNA from 1 species